GACGAACGCUGGCGGCGUGCUUAACACAUGCAAGUCGAACGCGCCUGUCCUCUGGGUUUCUGGGGGGUGGGUGAGUGGCGAACGGGUGAGUAACACGUGAGUAACCUGCCCCCUUCUUCGGGAUAACGGUCUGAAGGGGCUGCUAAUACCGGGUAUUCACUGGUCUCCGCAUGGGGUCUGGUGGAAAGGUUUUUUUCUGGUGGGGGAUGGGCUCGCGGCCUAUCAGCUUGUUGGUGGGGUGAUGGCCCACUAAGGCUUUGACGGGUAGCCGGCCUGAGAGGGUGACCGGUCACAUUGGGACUGAGAUACGGCCCAGACUCCUACGGGAGGCAGCAGUGGGGAAUAUUGCACAAUGGGCGCAAGCCUGAUGCAGCGACGCCGCGUGAGGGAUGGAGGCCUUCGGGUUGUGAACCUCUUUCGCCCGUGGUCAAGCCGCGACGUGGGUCGUGGUGAGGGUAGUGGGUAAAGAAGCGCCGGCUAACUACGUG
rnacentral:rRNA from 1 species